rnacentral:rRNA from 1 species
AGAGUUUGAUCCUGGCUCAGGAUGAACGCUGGCGGCGUGCUUAACACAUGCAAGUCGAACGGGGAUGUGAGCGGAAGUUUUCGGACUAAAGUUUAUAUCUUAGUGGCGGACGGGUGAGUAACGCGUGGGUAACCUGCCCUGCACAGGGGGAUAACACCUGGAAACAGGUGCUAAAACCGCAUAAGCGCACAGAGGCGCAUGCCUCAGUGUGAAAAACUCCGGUGGUGCAGGAUGGACCCGCGUCUGAUUAGGCAGUUGGCGGGGUAACGGCCCACCAAACCGACGAUCAGUAGCCGGCCUGAGAGGGUGGACGGCCACAUUGGGACUGAGACACGGCCCAAACUCCUACGGGAGGCAGCAGUGGGGAAUAUUGCACAAUGGGGGAAACCCUGAUGCAGCGACGCCGCGUGAGUGAAGAAGUAUUUCGGUAUGUAAAGCUCUAUCAGCAGGGAAGAAAGUGAUGGUACCUGAGUAAGAAGCACCGGCUAAAUACGUGCCAGCAGCCGCGGUAAUACGUAUGGUGGCGAGCGUUAUCCGGAAUUACUGGGUGUAAAGGGUGAGUAGGCGGGGAUGCAAGUCAGGUGUGAAAUGCAGGGGCUUAACCUCUGAGCUGCACUUGAAACUGCGUUUCUUGAGAGUCGGAGGGGUAAUCGGAAUUCCCGGUGUAGCGGUGAAAUGCGCAGAGAUCGGGAGGAACACCAGUGGCGAAGGCGGAUUACUGGACGACAACUGACGCUGAGACACGAAAGCGUGGGGAGCAAACAGGAUUAGAUACCCUGGUAGUCCACGCUGUAAACGAUGAAUACUAGGUGUAGGGCCGGAAGGUUCUGUGCCGGAGUAAACACAAUAAGUAUUCCACCUGGGGAGUACGGCCGCAAGGUUGAAACUCAAAGGAAUUGACGGGAGCCCGCACAAGCAGUGGAGUAUGCGGUUUAAUUCGAUGCAACGCGAAGAACCUUACCAGAGCUUGACAUCCCGGUGAAAGGCAGCGUAAUGGCGGCUGUUUCUUCGGAACACCGGAGACAGGUGGUGCAUGGUUGUCGUCAGCUCGUGUCGUGAGAUGUUGGGUUAAGUCCCGCAACGAGCGCAACCCUUGCGUCCAGUUGCUACGAAAGAGCACUCUGGAUGGACUGCCGUUGAGAAAACGGAGGAAGGCGGGGAUGACGUCAAAUCAUCAUGCCCCUUACGCCCUGGGCCACACGCGUACUACAAUGGCGCAAACAGAGGGAAGCGACCCUGCGAGGGGAAGCAGAUCCCAAAAAGGCGUCCCAGUUCAGAUUGCAGGCUGCAACUCGCCUGCAUGAAGUUGGAAUUGCUAGUAAUCGCGAAUCAGAAUGUCGCGGUGAAUACGUUCCCGGGCUUUGCACACACCGCCCGUCA